rnacentral:piRNA from 1 species
UACAACCCUGACUGUCUGGAUAUUGC